GUAAUUAAAAACGGGCUUUCCAAUAUAGCUUAUCGUAAUUAAUCAAUAAUUUAUAUAAAAAAGCUACUUCAUGUCUGUUUAUAUUUGGUCAUUUACGUUCAUUUGUGUUGUUUUAUGUUCGUUUAGGUUUUUAACGGACGGACAUAAACGAACCCAAACAUGCCCAUUUUCUUAAUGAACAAAUACAAUAUUUGAAACACAGUGAAACGCUAUGUAGAGU
rnacentral:lncRNA from 1 species